rnacentral:sRNA from 1 species
GCUGGGAGUGGUGGCAUGCGCCUGUAAUCCCAGCAGCUUUGGAGGCUGAGGCAGGAGGAUCAUGAGUUCAAAGCCAGCCUCAGCAAUUUAGCGAGGCUCUAAGCAACCCAGUGAGACCCUGUCACUA